UCUCGAUGGCAAAAAGUUGGAAGGGCCGCUCCUGUGUUUCCUUCCUCCAUGCUCAAGGACGCCGGCGUCUCGCCGUCAGCAAGUGCGCAACGCGGAGCAAUACAGCAUUGUCACCUGAGCCGCUAACUGGAAGCCCGCGAAAUUCUUUCCUCGUAGACCAUGUCGUAGACGCAUGAGACGCUCCGUGAAGUUUUAAGUGUUUGGAAGUGCAUCUAGUGUUUGGUCUUUGGCCGACUGUACCCCCCGCAAAGCAAAGCCAGCAGUGUGGACAGUGAGGAAGCACAUAUUGCACGCUGAAAACGUCACCUCAUCACAGAUGCAUCGUGCACUGUGAGUUGACAGCCCCUUCUUGUGUGCUUCGACAGUCACUAUUCAUGGGACUCAACAUACAACAGGACACUAUCUUGUGGUCUAUAGAGACGAGUACAACCUGUGCUAUGGGAAACUGUUACACAUCUUUGUGGAAACUGGCCCGGAGGUGAUGCCAAUUUUUCUUUUUCGCAUGACGCCAUCAAGCUUCCUACUAGACCUCAGGCUAUACCAUCUUGAAUCUCAGGAUAUCACUGCUCAACCAUGAUUAUGGAGACGUUUCUGAAGAUCAGGAGUAGAGAACAUGUCUUCAGGAGCGAAUCAGAGUCAGA